rnacentral:rRNA from 1 species
UACGGAGGGGGCAAGCGUUGUUCGGAUUUACUGGGUGUAAAGGGUGCGUAGGCGGCUUGACAAGUUAGAUGUGAAAUCUCCGGGCUCAACCCGGAAACUGCAUUUAAUACUGUUAGGCUAGAGUGCGAGAGAGGGAGAUGGAAUUCUCGGUGUAAGAGUGAAAUCUGCAGAUAUCGAGAGGAACACCAGUUGCGAAGGCGAUCUCCUGGCUCGACACUGACGCUGAGGUGCGAAAGCGUGGGGAGCAAACAGG